CCUGAAAGAUGAUCAGGUUGAUAGGUCUGAGGUGGAAGUGUGGCGACACAUGGAGCUGACAGAUACUAAUCGAUCGAGGACUUAACCAAUUU
rnacentral:rRNA from 3 species